rnacentral:rRNA from 1 species
CCCUUCGUGGAUCGCGAAAGGGUGCUGGUGGUUGUCGUCCCUCCUGUUGGGUUGUUGGGUUAACCCCGGCCCAGCGCCCCCUUGUCCUUAAUUGCCAUCAUUUAGUUGGGAACUCUAAGGAAACCGCCGGGGACAAACCGGAGGAAGGGGGGGAUGACAUCAAGUCAUCUUGGCCCUUAUUUCCAGGGCUACACACCUGCUACAAUGGGCGGACCAAAAGGUUGCCAACCCCCGAGGGGGAGCCAAUCCCAAAAAACCGGUCCUAUUCCGGAUCGGAGUCUGCAACUCCCCUCCGUGAAGUCGGAAUCCCUAGUAAUCCCAAAUCACCACUGCCGCGGGGAAUACUUUCCCGGGUCUUGUACACACACAAAAA